rnacentral:pre_miRNA from 1 species
AUUUGCCUGUGUGGAUGGUGUUCAGCACCAAGGACAAGUGUGUUAACCUGUGUAGAUGGUGUUCAGCACCAGAGACGUGUUAAGCA